rnacentral:rRNA from 1 species
CAAUAGCGUAUAUUAAAGUUGUUGCAGUUAAAAAGCUCGUAGUUGGACCUUGGGCCUGGACGGGCGGUCCGCCUCACGGCGUGUACUGUCUUGCCGGGCCUUUCCUCUUGGUGAUCUGUUGUUUCGGCAGCAGGGAACCAGGACCUUUACUUUGAAAAAAUUAGAGUGUUCAAAGCAGGCUCGACGCCGGAAUAUAUCAGCAUGGAAUAAUAAAAUAGGACGUGCGGUUCUAUUUUGUUGGUUUUUGGAAUCGCCGUAAUGAUUAAUAGGGACAGUCGGGGGCAUUAGUACUCACAUGCUAGAGGUGAAAUUCUUGGAUUUUGUGAAGACUAACUUCUGCGAAAGCAUUUGCCAAGGAUGUUUUCAUUA